rnacentral:rRNA from 1 species
UACGUAGGUGACAAGCGUUGUCCGGAUUUACUGGGCGUAAAGAGCGCGCAGGCGGUCGAUCAAGUCGAGUGUGAAAGCCCCCGGCUCAACUGGGGAGGGUCAUUCGAUACUGAUCGACUCGAAGGCAGGAGAGGGUAGUGGAAUUCCCGGUGUAGCGGUGGAAUGCGUAGAGAUCCGGAAGAACACCGGUGGCGAAGGCGGCCCGCUGGGCAGGAAGACCCCGUAAGGGGUCGGCUGACGCUGAGGCGCGACAGCGUGGGGAGCAAACAGG